AUGGAGGUUGUCGCAGAGAAGAAAAAGAAGGUUCCUGCUGUGCCAGAAACCCUUAAGAAAAAGCGAAGGAAUUUCGCGGAGCUGAAGUUAAAGCGCCUGAGAAAGAAGUUUGCCCAAAAAAUGCUUCGAAAGGCAAGGAGGAAGCUUAUCUAUGAAAAAGCUAAGCACUAUCACAAAGAAUAUAGGCAGAUGUACAGAACUGAGAUUCGAAUGGCUAGGAUGGCAAGAAAAGCUGGCAACUUCUAUGUACCUGCAGAACCCAAAUUGGCGUUUGUCAUCAGGAUCAGAGGUAUCAAUGGUGUGAGCCCAAAGGUCCGGAAGGUGUUGCAGCUUCUUCGCCUUCGUCAGAUCUUCAACGGAACCUUUGUUAAGCUCAACAAGGCUUCGAUUAACAUGCUGAGGAUUGUAGAACCAUACAUUGCAUGGGGGUACCCAAACCUGAAGUCAGUAAAUGAACUAAUCUACAAGCGUGGUUAUGGCAAAAUUAAUAAGAAGCGAAUUGCCUUGACAGAUAAUUCUUUGAUUGCUCGAUCUCUUGGUAAAUAUGGCAUCAUUUGCAUGGAGGAUCUGAUUCAUGAGAUUUAUACUGUUGGAAAACGUUUCAAAGAAGCCAAUAACUUCCUCUGGCCUUUGGUGACUUUUGAUGUUGCUGGCUUGGAAGACUUGAUGACAAUUCAGUACAUUAAGAUGUUUUAA